AUAUAUUUGGCAACCUUCAGAAAUGUAGCGCCAACCGAGCGGCUUUCGAAGAAUGUUGCUGCGUGUAUCCAAGCUUCGUUGCCUAAAUAUGUAAGAACUUUCAAGCAGCAUUGUAAAACAUAUUGGUUUUGAAUGUAGCGGGAAUGCUUGCAAAAGCGGAUAUUAGCCCAGUUUAGGCAACGUUAAAUAGGACGGAACAUAUUAUGGCAACAAUGCAUGAUACUAGGUGACAAAACAUCUUUUAGCGUGAACAAAACGCCGAACGAAGUCGAUUGGUUGGCGUGUACGAUAUACAUGUCUACGCCAAUAAGUGAUAAUGCGAUAAUCUUGUCAUGUACUUUCAGUGAAAUGAAUGCCCAAAGUUCACGAAUGGUGCUGUAAGUAUGUAACAAGAACUGCGUUAAAGCGUGGCUAAGAUCGUGGGGACGACGGCAAACGGAUGUAAAAAAAAAUGAAAGAAAAUUCUCAGCGCAGUGUUAAUCUUCGUUUCUGUCAUCCUGUGCGCUUUGCACUGCUGGCUUGUGUACGUUUCAAAUUUGGUUUUUGCAUUAUCCAUUUGGUCUGGAAUCGACGUAUGUGCAUGUUGUAUGUAAUUCAAUGUGGUGUCUGUAGUGAGGCAUGUUGCGAGGCAACAUUUACGUUGGCGCGAAUGGCUAGCGUAAAUGUUGCUGGGCAACGCAGCACCACGACGACACACCGUGCAUGGAAUUAUUUGUUUCAUCAAACUUGAUAUGCAAUCGAUGUCCAUAUUACUGAAGUUUAUAGCAAUGUAUUUAGUCCUCAAAUACCUAGGGAAUUUGUGAAAUAUUGAAGAAAUUAUAGACGUGAACGAAAAUUUGGCAACAUUGAUAUACACCAAAAUCUGCCAACUUGUCUUUAUCUAGGGAAAAAAUGGCGUUAAAUUUAGGCAACCUUGAUAAAACGCAAAAAUCUGCUAACUUUGGGACCGCAUAUAUCAUUGUUUCUAGAUGAAAAGUUUGGAAACGCUAAUGUUUUUGUAACGUUUUACAGAUAUAAACUAACAACUAAGAGGCACCCGGAAAAUUUUUUGAAGUUUUUUUCUGCAUCUGUGAGUGAAAAAAAAUUAGUGUUUAUAUAAUUUUGUGCUAGUUUUGUGUUCUGCUAUAUUGUUAUCAAGUACCAAGCGAAAGUCUGCAAUUUAGACAUUUUCAUUCGAAACAUUUGCUUUUGUUCACAAACGCCAAGAAGCUGAAGCGUUUUCCAGCUAACCAUUACGUGGUAACACCAAUCUUCGUAAUGGAGAUUUGGUUUCACUUUUGAUGCUUGUGAAGAAACAUGUGGAAGAACGUGUGUUCGAAAUGGAGGUUUCCACUCGCGGGCCAACCUUGUUAAAGGGCCGCACCAAACGAGACAUCCCGACUGCAUGCAGCAGAGUACUCCAUACUGGUACCGGGUCCAGAUGAGCAACAUUGGUCAAACUGGUAUUCAGAUGCAGGUGUUGCUCUUGCAGCUGUGACAUCACGAGGGAGAAAGUAGGCAAAGUACUCCCUUACUCUUUUCAUGGAAAACAUCACGAGUAUAAACAAAGUAAAGAGAGCUGUGUUGCUGAAGGAUGAGGCACCCAUUUCUCAAGGCAACUAACCUGCAACUGGGGAAGUGCUCGGAGCUGUAGCAAGUAGGAAUAUUUACUUGACCACUCCAAGCUCGGGGUACAUCCUAGGAAAAUUGAAAUUUCUAAACACUCUCAUAAUUCUAGAAAACUUGUACACGGGACAGGAAAGCUAAUGUUAGACAAACAUUGGCAGUGCAGAUUCGCUUGAGGGUCAGAAAGUGUCGGGGCAGGGUUGUAUUCUUUCGAAGGAAUUCUUUCACGGGAAAGGUAAAUUCUUUCAUUUGGUCAAAAGGAUCAAUGUCGCGGUUGUAAGCAAACAAAUCUUGAAUUUAUUCCAAAUGUCCUGGAGCUAAAACUUCAUUUCGGUCAUGUCAUGCGUGCUGCCUAUUAUUGUUCAGGCCACAGGGAAAUGUCGGGGCAGGGUUGUAUUCUUUCGAAGGAAUUCUUUCACGGGCAGGGUAAAUUCUUUCAUUUGGUCAAAAGGAUCAAUGUCGCGGUUGUAAGCAAACAAAUCUUGAAUUUAUUUCAAAUGUCCUGGAGCUAAAACUUCACUUCGGUCAUGUCAUGCGUGCUGCCUAUUAUUGUUCAGGCCACAGGGAAAUGUCGGGGCAGGGUUGUAUUCUUUCGAAGGAAUUCUUUCAAGGGCAGGGUAAAUUCUUUCAUUUGGUCAAAAGGAUCAAUGUCGCGGUUGUAAGCAAACAAAUCUUGAAUUUAUUUCAAAGGUCCUGGAGCUAAAACUUAAUUUCGGUCAUGUCAUGCGUGCCGCCCAUUAUUGUUCAGGCUACAGGGAAAUGUCGGGGUGCUCUUUAGACUUCUAUGAAAUAGGUCUCGCUGCAAUAACGCACAUUGUCGUGCUAGUUAUCAUAUGAUUGGGAAUCUGGCUGGUGUUCAUACACUCAUCACCAAGAGUCAACAGUGAACCUUGAUUGGGCAAGUUGGUUCAUCUUGACAUGUGGCAUAAACAGCACUGGAAAAAAGGAGGAAAGGAAUACAACAGAAGGGACACUAGUCCUGUGAUGUGUGUGUUACAUUUGUCCCAAUUUUCAGCACUGCUUUUAGUACACUGUCAACAGUGACUCGACAGUACUUAACAUUGCUGAAGUACAAGUGUGUGUGUGCACGCAAGAAUGAGCCCAGAUUGUCACAAUGGGUCGGAACAACACAAGCGGUGGGAUUGUGCAAUGUUAAUCCACAGAAAGAGCAGGUAUCUAAGUUUACUUCUUAAUAAGCUGCACAGCUGGGCUUUUUUUUUUUUUUCGCCGUAAAAUAUGCACACAAAAACUAUAACUCGCGACAACUUUUCUUGGCAGCACUGUGGUAGCUACAGAACUAUUUCCUGGCACGCGCAGGCAAUAGUACAUAUUUUUAUUUUCCAAUCUUCAGAGUUUCCUAGCUCAAAUAAAUAAAGCUUUCUUCAUUAUAAAAAUAAAACAAGUGUGGGAAGCCGUUGGUGAAAAGAUUAUUGUACACUUUAGGUUGUUGUUAUUUUUUUCAUUUCUUUGACACCACUACGUUUCCGCGCGCCUGUUCUCAUAGUAAACAUAGCAUCCCCAAUGCCGGCUGGACCAUGUGUGGCUGCGAACUCACAGUUUCAUUCUCCGAGAAAGAUAUACUUGAAAUGUGACAGAAAGUGGCUGUAAAAACAGACCAAGCAAGUUAUCUGCAACGUCUGUGCUGGGGCAAGGUGCCUAAAUUGUCGACGAACGCUGCGAGCAAGCAAAACCGAAACUGGAACUGAAAUCUGCUGUGAGCUGUCGAACUACUUGCGUAGUAACCCACAUAUGUGGAUGCCCCGCCUCCAUAGUCUUCGCUCCACUGCCAAGAUAAGUUGUCGCUGAGUAUAGCUUGUAUAACAUGUGGGAUGCCUUGGAUGUACAAGGAAGUUUCAUAGCUAUGAGCUAAUGCUCCAGUAUGCUUAGCAUUCAUUGCCACCCUUGCUGAAAAGCUGCAGCAGCUCUCUAAGACACCACAGCCAAUGAAAAAAACCUCACAGGGUCCUUUCCCACGAAACACGAAACCUCUAUAAAAUGUUUUAUAAAAUGUGUUAUAGAGCUUUAUAUAGAGGUUUUGCGUUUCAUGGGUUAUGCAUUUGACGUUAUCGUGUGAUGAUUUUUUGCAUCACUUGUGUUGACGCCGCUGACGGUCAAUUUUUGCAUUUGAUGAGACGUCUAAGGCUUUCGCCUUAAAAUAUUGUACUCUUGUAUGAAGCUACAGACCAAUGCAACAUGUACAAAUAUUUCUUUAUUAACCAAGAAGACCUUGUCGCUCAUAGCUCAGGGCCAUCACCACAAGCAUUUGAUGUAGCAGCAGGUCAGUCUUGCAAAAUGUGGAAAAAAAAAAAACUUAUUAUAAUGUGUAUCUAUUUCCUCACAGCCCAACCUCCCACCCUUUUUUCAGUGAAGAGAAAAAAGUAAAUAAAGCAAUUUUGUACAAGCAA